GGGCAUCAAUCUCCUGGUGCAGGAGAGAACACCUCUGCCAUAGGGGAUGCAGCAGAAAAGGCCAAAUGGAUGGUCCAGGAGGUUCUGGAGAAGAGUUCAGGAGGAGAGGAAACAAUGGAGGAGUAUAAGAGAUUGAGCACCUUGACACACUGCACAAGACGGCAUCAUAUCCUGGUCAGCCACAUUGUUGAAAUGCAUGGGAACUCUGGAUCUCAUUCAUAGUCAGCAUUGGGUCCUUGGU